UACGAGGGGUGCAAGCGUUGCUCGGAAUUAUUGGGCGUAAAGGGUAGGUAGGUGGUCUCAUUUGUCUGGGGUGAAAGCCUUGAGCUUAACUCAAGAAGUGCCCCGGAAACGGUGAGACUGGAGUCCUGGAGAGGGUCGUGGAAUUCCCAGUGUAGCGGUGAAAUGCGUAGAUAUUGGGAGGAACACCAGUGGCGAAGGCGGCUCGCUGGACCGGUUCUGACGCUGAGGCGCGAAAGCGUGGGGAGCAAACGGG
rnacentral:rRNA from 1 species